ensembl:lncRNA
AUCGUGGAGUUUCUAGCACCAUACAGUUGAGCUACAGUCAUUCUUUCUGUGUGUUUGUAGGUGCGAACAGCCCUGGAGUCCAGAAUAGGCAUAGACAUGAAGGACUACAAAGAGUAUAUUGACAAUGAGAUGAUGGUCACAAUGGCACAGAUGGACAAACCUUCCAGAAUCUUGGACUACCUUUACUUGGUGAGUGUUGACAUUUGUCUUGUCUGCUAUACUGUUGGAAAUACACUUAUUUAUUCAUUUUUUUGUCCUUUUUUUUUCCCCCAAAGGGGUCCGAAUGGAAUGCUGCCAACUUUGAAGAACUACAGAAGAACAAUGUGGGCUACAUCCUCAAUGUUACCAAGGAGAUUGACAACUUUUUUCCAGAAUCCUUCACCUAUAUGAAUAUUAGAGUUUACGAUGUGGAAGCGACUGAUCUACUCUCAUACUGGAAGAACACAUACAUGUUCAUCAGUGAAGCGUUGUUAUCUCAGAAUAAACCCCUUCAGGCUGAUACAAGACCCCUCGUGAUCUCCCUGUCGGGGUUUAUUCUGAUAUAACAACCAGCUGGAUGUACAUUAUCCCUUACAUAAAUCGGUAUAUGCAGAAGCUUUCUGCAGCAUAUUGUGCACAGAAGACAGAUUUGCCAAAAUGCAUUGGAAGUAAUGUCAGCUACGAUCUCUUUUUAUUUAUUUAUUUUUUACUCCUUUAGUAGGGCUAUCAAGACAUUUUUACACAGUUGGACAAAAAAGGCUAAAUAGCCCUUUUAAAAAAAUAAUCUGAUAAAUUGAAACCACUUGCAGAAUUAGGUGGAUUUUUGUUUCACAUGUUGUUAUAAAAAAGCAGUACAGCCUACACAUUUCAAUAGUAAGUACUGAAUUUCAUUCCAAACGUGGCAUUGUGCCAUGCAGUAAACAGCGCCACAGUGCCCUCUGGAGGAGGAAGUCCAAACCAGAAGUCCGCCAGCCAUCUGUCCACAACGAAGCAGCCACAGGGAGUGAACAGGAACAGAAAGAGGAAGACUCAGAGAGCCCAGAAGAGGAAAGCAGUUAUGAGGAGGAGGAAACGGAUGUCUUUGAUGAGCAUCUGGAUGAGAGUGUUCCCGACACGUCUGGGGCAGAUACAGCUACAGCUACAUCCAACCCACUUAUUACUGUACAAGAAAGUGAUAAGGUGUCAUCUAGCCCCAGCAGAAGUGGCAGGAUGGAUUUGUUCUCUCUUAUGCAAUCUAUUCAGCUUGAUGAUGAGGACAGAGGCCUAGAUAAAGAGAUCACUGCCUGUCAGAGACUUUCUCCUGCGCAACGAAGGCGGAGUCAUGGAAGAAGAGGCUUGACUUAUCAGAGAGCGCAUGUUGAUGUUUCUCCUGAACCAAGCAGCAGACAGUCACAGAACACAAACCAGGAUGAAGCUGGUCUCUGAAGCACUUUAACAAAGGGGCCGUGUUUAGAAAUAUGGAGAAAGAGGAAUAUUAAAAGUGAAAAGGUGAGGAAAAAGAACACAAACAGUGAUGCUAAUAUAAGAGACACUCUUGCACAAGUCUUAUCCUUCUGAUUGUAUCAUUCCAAGUUCUUUGAGGAGUCAUCGCAGAAUAAAAUUAGGGAAUUUAUUCAUAUAGUUGCUGUUUUGAGGCUCAUUUAGGUAAUUUCACUUGGAGGCAACACAUAAAAGCACAUGGUUACAUAUCAAUGGCUAUCUCACUCAUUUUUCCCUCACCUGUCCAUCUAGCCUUUGAAAAAAAAAUCAGCCACCUCUUGUCAAGUGAGUAUUGAUAAAGGAACUGUUUUCCUCAGAGCAUUAUCAUUCAAAAUGUCACAUUGUGCCUUUUGAAAUCUCUGUUUCCUUUGCACCGUCAUACUGAGCCAUAAAAUUCAGUUUACUUCACAGAUUUUAAUAUGGUAUUAUAGUGCGAGUGGAGUAUUUCUCUAUGGCUGUUAUCUCUCAUGUCAUAGUACAGAAACAUGAGCUAUUCGAUAGCAUUGUUUCAUGUUGUUUUUAAUAAAUGAAUAAGAGUGUGAUUCACUCCUUUUAGGAGUCCUAUGCAAUAAAUCUACUUUAUAGCUGUUCCUUCUCCAUGAAUGUGACGCUUUAUGCUGCCCCUGUGGAGAUCAGUAGGUGAAAAAGUGUAGAGAAAGCAAUCAAGGAUUUAAACUUUUCAUGUAUACUACCAUUCAAAACUUUGGGGUCAGUAAGAAAUCAGUGCUUUUUAUUUAGCAAGGAUGCAUUAAAUUGAUUGAAAGUGACAUUUCAUUUUAUAACAUUAAAAACUAUUUCUAUUUCAAAUAAGUGCUGUUUCUUAACUUUCUAUAAAAAUGUAUCACAGGUACCAUAAUAAUUGUUUUCAACAUUUGAUGAUAAUAAGAACUGUUUCUGAGCACCAAAUCAGCAUAUUACAAUUUCUAAAAUAUCAUGUGACACUAAAGACUGGAAUAAUGGCUGCUGAAAAUUCAGCUUUGCCAUUUCAGAAAUAAACUACUUUUUAAUAUACAUUUAAUUAGAAACAAGUUAUUUUAAACUGCAAUAUUAUUUUGCAACUUUACUGUUUUUACAGUAUUUUUUUAUCAAAUAAAUGUAGCCUUGGUAAGCAUAAGAGACUUCAAAAACAUAAUCUUACUGACUCCAAACUUAUGAUUGGUAGAGUAGUUUCUUGACAGUGAUGUAGCUACUCAUGCUAUAUCAUGUUUUUAACACUUGGAGCUAUUUUCAUGUCUUUUUAAAUUAAGCAGAUGUUGUUUAAUAUUUGUUUUUAACCUGUAGAGUAUGCAGGAAACAAAACUUGAGAAGAAACCCGAGUAUUUUCCUACAAAAUGUGCCAGUUAUUUAACCGUCUCUGCUGUUUCAAUCAUUCUGCAUGAUGGUUCAGUGCCUUUAGUUGAUAGAGGUGGACCAAAAUAACUACAUUUGUUGGUUUUAAUAUCCGUGCAGUUAAAACUAGCACAACUAACUCCUACAUAAUACAUGUGUCUUUAGCCCUAGGUGUGGUUGAUUUGUGUCUUUGCAUGAUGUCUCAAGUAUCGGACUGUAUGCAUGCUGUUUGUACUGUAUGUAAGCCUGUCUUUGUGAAGCAUGAGUCCUGUAUGUAUAAAGUAUACACAAUCUGCUGUAAAACAUUUGUUGAAAUGUGUAUACUGUCAUUGCACAAAGUGCCAAUGUUGUGAAACCAAAGUUAUGUCGUGGAAUGUUUCUAGUAUUGAGGCACCACUGGUUUUGCAGUUAUUUUCCAUGAGAAUGUCUUAAGUUAUGUGUAUUAGCGAUAGAGGAUGACCUACAGCCUUCAAAGUGCUGAUUUUCUUCACUUAAUGUAUAAUGUGCCAUGCCUUAUCAACUUCAAAAACAGUGAUACAUUUUAUUCUGAUGUAACUCGCAUUUCCAUUGUUGGUAUCAGGUGGCGUUAAAUAUCAAGUCAAGGUGUCUGUUGCUUUUUCUAUUUAUGACUGAUCUGAACAUGUAUCUUUUUAAUUUGAUAUACAAAGUUGUCUGUGCUAUAAAAAUUAAAAUGAAUUUAUAAUGGGGCUUGAGAAAUAUCUAAUGGAAACUCUCAUUGAUUGUUUUUGUAUAAUGUAGUGUUUCAGGUUGUAAGAUAUUCCUAUUCUUAAUAAUGCUACUGUAAAAUUGUGUGUUUGUAUAUGUGAAAAUUCAUAUUCAUAUAUACAGUAUCACAGAAUUGAGUACACCCCUCACAUUUUUGUAAAUAUUUUAUUAUAUCUUUUCAUGUGACAACACUGAAGAAAUUACACUUUGCUACAAUGUAAAGUAGUGAGUGUACAGCUUGUAUAACAGUGUAAAUUUGCUGUCCCCUCAAAAUGACUCAACACACAGCCAUUAAUGUCUAAACC